CCUACGAGUGGCAGCAGUGGGGAAUAUUGCACAAUGUGCGAAAGCCUGAUGCCGCAACGCCGCGUGAAGGAAGAAGGGUUUCGGCUCGUAAACUUCUAUCAACAGGGCCGACAGAAAUGACGGUACCUGCAUACGCAGCCCCGGCUGACUCCGUGCCAGCAGCCGCGGUAAUACGGAGGGGGCAAGCGUUAUCCGGAAUUACUGGGGGUAAAGGGUGAGUAGGCGGGAUGGUAAGCCAGAUGUGAAAGCCUUGGGCUUAACCCGAGGAGUGCAUUUGGAACUAUCAAGCGGGAGUAGCGGAGAGGAAAGGGGAGGUGGUGGGGUAGCGGGGAAAGGCGUAGGGAGGAGGAGGAA
rnacentral:rRNA from 1 species